UGCAAGGAUAGAGUAGGUGUCCGUCACUGCACUGCAGCGAGGACAGCUGAGGUGGAAAUGAAGAAAGGAUGCAGAAGGAUGUGCAGUCUGCAGUCAGUUCAUUGACGUCCGUCUCUUCUGCUGAUUACAACCAAGCGCGCUGGACAAGAUACAAAGAGCAACAACAGAAGGAAUCUGAAAACCAAAGGCAGUCAUAGUGGUGCAGACAGCUAUUACCUCAAGAAAAAUAUCUCUUUCUGGAAGAAGACUGAGAAAAGGAGCCCCUUGAGCUACAGAAGAUGGGAAAGAGUCUGUUUUUUCUCUGAGUAUGUGUCUGUGUGUGUUUGUGUCCUUUCUCUCAGAGUUUGCCAAGGGUGGUACCCUCACAGAGCCAGCCAGAGUUGGCAAGUGGCAAGUCCAACUAAUAUCGCAAUAGAAACUUUGUCCUCUGGUGAAAUAAACAGAAAAGGGUUCUUGUGGCCCAAAGAGAAUUGGAGUAAGUCACUGGGUAAGUUUUCUCUUUUUUCUCUCUCCACUUAGCACCAACAGUGGUCCUGUUUCCAGGGCCUAUGUAGCGGCACAGGCAUCCGAGACUUUGAGAGAACCCCCACCUAUCUGGCCAGAGGACCAAGAAUAGGGGGCCCUGCAGAUUGCAGCUGUCCUGAAGCAGAUAUGAUAGGGAGGAGGGACCACACUACAGAUGAUAAAGAAGAGCUGUGGAGAGAUUACCAGCCCCACUUUCAAAGCAGGCUGACAACUGCCCAGAUCAGGAGGUACAGUUUCCUGUGCUCCAGCCCUUUC